rnacentral:rRNA from 1 species
AUUGAACGCUGGCGGCAUGCCUUACACAUGCAAGUCGAACGGCAGCACGGGAGCAAUCCUGGUGGCGAGUGGCGAACGGGUGAGUAAUAUAUCGGAACGUGCCCAGUAGUGGGGGAUAGCCCGGCGAAAGCCGGAUUAAUACCGCAUACGACCUGUGGGUGAAAGCGGGGGAUCGCAAGACCUCGCGCUAUUGGAGCGGCCGAUAUCAGAUUAGCUAGUUGGUGGGGUAAAGGCCUACCAAGGCGACGAUCUGUAGCUGGUCUGAGAGGACGACCAGCCACACUGGGACUGAGACACGGCCCAGACUCCUACGGGAGGCAGCAGUGGGGAAUUUUGGACAAUGGGCGCAAGCCUGAUCCAGCCAUGCCGCGUGUGGGAAGAAGGGCCUUCGGGUUGUAACCACUUUGUCUAGGAACGAAACGGUACUGGGCCAAUAUCCUGGGCUAAUGACGGUACCUGAAGAAUAAG